rnacentral:rRNA from 1 species
AAUAUUGCGCAAUGGAGGGAACUCUGACGCAGCGACGCCGCGUGAGCGCUGAAGGUCUUAGGAACGUAAAGCUCUGUCCUUGGGGAAGUAGGUCUUCGGACUUUACGGUACCUAAGGAGGAAGCCCCGGCUAACUACGUGCCAGCAGCCGCGGUAAUACGUUGGGGGCAAGCGUUGUCCGGAAUUUUUGGGAGUAAAGGGUGCGUAGGCGGCCGUUUAAGUCAGAUGUGAAAGCCCACGGCUUAACCGUGGGACUGCAUUUGAAACUGGAGGGCUUGAGUAUCGGAGAGGGUAGUGGAAUUCCCAGUGUAGCGGUGGAAUGCGUAGAUAUUGGGAGGAACACCAGUGGCGAAGGCGACUACCUGGACGAAAACUGACGCUGAGGCACGAAAGCUAGGGGAGCAAACA